AACGAACGCUGGCGGCAUGCCUAACACAUGCAAGUCGAACGAUUGCCUUCGGGUGAUAGUGGCGCACGGGUGCGUAACGCGUGGGAAUCUGCCCUUAGGUUCGGAAUAACAGCUGGAAACGGCUGCUAAUACCGGAUGAUAUCGCGAGAUCAAAGAUUUAUCGCCUGAGGAUGAGCCCGCGUUGGAUUAGGUAGUUGGUGGGGUAAAGGCCUACCAAGCCGACGAUCCAUAGCUGGUCUGAGAGGAUGAUCAGCCACACUGGGACUGAGACACGGCCCAGGCUCCUACGGGAGGCAGCAGUGGAGAAUAUUGGACAAUGGGCGCAAGCCUGAUCCAGCAAUGCCGCGUGAGUGAUGAAGGCCAUAGGGUUGUAAAGCUCUUUUACCCGGGAAGAUAAUGACUGUACCGGGAGAAUAAGCCCCGGCUAACUCCGUG
rnacentral:rRNA from 1 species